AGAGUUUGAUCCUGGCUCAGGAUGAACGCUAGCGGGAGGCCUAACACAUGCAAGUCGAGCGCAUACCUUCGGGUAUGAGCGGCGGACGGGUGAGUAACGCGUAGGUCAUCUACCCUUUGGUGGGGGAUAACCCAGGGAAACUUGGGCUAAUACCGCACGAGGUCUACGGAUCAAAGCCUUCGGGCGCCAGAGGAUGAGCCUGCGUCGCAUUACCUAGUUGGCGGGGUAACGGCCCACCAAGGGGACGAUGCGUAGCUGGUCUGAGAGGAUGAUCAGCCACACUGGGACUGAGACACGGCCCAGACUCCUACGGGAGGCAGCAGUGGGGAAUAUUGCGCAAUGGGGGAAACCCUGACGCAGCCACGCCGCGUGGGUGAUGAAGGCCUUCGGGUUGUAAAGCCCUGUCGGGAGGGACGAAUUCUUGACGGUACCUCCAAAGAAAGCACCGGCUAACUCCGUG
rnacentral:rRNA from 1 species